rnacentral:rRNA from 1 species
GAUGAACGCUGGCGGCGUGCCUAAUACAUGCAAGUCGAGCGAACAGACGAGGAGCUUGCUCCUCUGACGUUAGCGGCGGACGGGUGAGUAACACGUGGAUAACCUACCUAUAAGACUGGGAUAACUUCGGGAAACCGGAGCUAAUACCGGAUAAUAUAUUGAACCGCAUGGUUCAAUAGUGAAAGACGGUUUUGCUGUCACUUAUAGAUGGAUCCGCGCCGCAUUAGCUAGUUGGUAAGGUAACGGCUUACCAAGGCGACGAUGCGUAGCCGACCUGAGAGGGUGAUCGGCCACACUGGAACUGAGACACGGUCCAGACUCCUACGGGAGGCAGCAGUAGGGAAUCUUCCGCAAUGGGCGAAAGCCUGACGGAGCAACGCCGCGUGAGUGAUGAAGGUCUUCGGAUCGUAAAACUCUGUUAUUAGGGAAGAACAAAUGUGUAAGUAACUAUGCACGUCUUGACGGCACCUAAUCAGAAAGCCACGGCUAACUACGU